GUGUGGUGAUGCGGGCCGUCGGAUCAGACGCUGAUCUGGUGGCGGGCGGGUGAGUCGGUUUGUGUACGUUGCAUCGGGACCCUUUUUUGGAGGAUUUUUUUUUCGGGAAAGAUGAAGGGUGAAUUGCAGAUGAGGUGGGUGAGUGUGUCACGUGCAAACAUGUUGAGGAAGAGGAGUGGGUUAAUAAUUCAUUUGUCCCUCACUCCCGUCGGGGUCACCUUAGGCCAUGACGGGAACGGGACAGUGGACAAGUAUCCACUCGAGCAAUAAUAUUUUUACACCCAAAAUUAGGUAUAUUUUAGAUUGUCUAAAUUUUUGAAUGAAUUAAAUGUACUUUCGGGUAACGCACAAAAGAGCAAUUUUCUGUCAACAUGGGUCGACUUUCGAAGUAGCAGUAAUUUCUUUCUUCCCCCGCACUGUUCAAAUACUUGUCAUUAACUCUCCACACUGCCACUGCUAAUAAAGAGAAGAGAGGAAAACAAUAAAAGCAGCUUUAACAAUUUGGGGAAAAAACAGCAGGGAAAAGGCUUUGCUCUAUUGAAUAUAAACUAUACACUGGUUAUCACUUAUCAAAACUUAAGUUUAUGAACAUGAACAUAUUGAUUGUGACAAAGACAAAUGCAUAUAGUAACAGUAAUCUCUAAGCAUACUAUCUAUCGUAUAUUGAGCAAAUAAUAAUAAUAAUAAAAAAAAAGAAAUAAAUUGUUCUUUUCAAUAUGGGUUUCUAGAAAUCUUUCUUUUCACUGUAGAAAUGUGAGGUUCAUUUAUUUAUUUUUUUUUUAAAAAAAAAAACAUGUAUCAGAUGUACCAAGUGCUUGACUUUGACUAUCCUUUGUAAAAAAAAAAUAAACAUAAAAAAAAAGCGAGAGUCAAUAGAAAAGUAAACAUAAAAAAGAGUGAGAGUCAAUACAAAAUCGUAGCUCACCUUUUCUGCCGAAAUCACAGAGGCAGCCCAUGAUCCAUAUGCAGCAACGCCCAGAGAAAAAAACAGAAAAAAAAGAAAAAAAAAAGCAGAAGAAUUAGGAGCUCCCUUCAGUCCAAAGCAAGCAAAAGCAAGAAGUGCGGCAAGCAAAAAGAUGGCUUGGCUUCUGCUUUAGGCUGGAAGGAGCCCCUGCUUCUGCUGCUUUGAAACGGUUUAACUCCAUCAGCCAGAUCCAUUAAGAGGAGAGCAGAAGCAGCAGCAGCAGCAGCAGCAGCAGCAGCAGCUGCUUGUGGGAGGGAAGAUGCAUAUCAAUUAAACAAGGAUUAGAGAAGAAGUGAAAGCAUCGGCAUAGCAUACCAUACCAAUUCUCUUGUGUUUAAAGGGCUGCCCAUCCCUUUCAUACUUCCUUUUCUGCAUCUUUUCCUAGCUUACCCGUGUCUAGCUAGCUAUAUGGUAAAGCUCUUACAAAAAUUGUGCAUUACAUUGUAUCAUACGUUUUAAGGCUCUUCGAGUCUUGACCAGUUGUUGCACAUGGCACCAACAUAUAUACUUAAACUUUUGAUUUUUCAACUAAUGAUCAAAUGGUAUGGUUAACUUAAA